rnacentral:rRNA from 1 species
GAUGAACGCUAGCGGCAGGCCUAAUACAUGCAAGUCGAGGGGUAGUGGAGCUUGCUCCACGAGACCGGCGCACGGGUGCGUAACGCGUAUGCAACCUACCUUCACCUGGGGGAUAGCCCGGAGAAAUCCGGAUUAACACCGCAUAAAACCACAGUACCGCAUGGUACAAUGGUCAAACAUUCAUGGGGCGGAGAUGGGCAUGCGUGCCAUUAGUUAGUUGGCGGGGUAACGGCCCACCAAGACCGCGAUGGCUAGGGGAUCUGAGAGGAUCGGCCCCCACACUGGUACUGAGACACGGACCAGACUCCUACGGGAGGCAGCAGUAAGGAAUAUUGGUCAAUGGGCGCAAGCCUGAACCAGCCAUGCCGCGUGCAGGAAGACCGGCCCUCUGGGUUGUAAACUGUACUUUUUAGUUACGGGAAUAAACCACUAUUACGUGUAGUGUGCUGAAUGU